CGAUGGCUCCACCUCCUCGCAAGGCGCAAAUCUCACAGGAGGCAUUCGACGCCGCGGUGCGAGAGAAUGUGGAAGAUUUUGAGAUGGAGGAGGGUGAGGCGAUCGCUGAUGCGGUGCACACAUUCCAGCUACAAGGCGUCGAUCUCACAGGGAUUAUCACCGACGGGCGCGGCAAAGAAGAGCAUCCUGUGAUCCUAGCGGUCAAAGACCUGAAACUGGCCGUGGACGACAAUGCUGGUAUGGAUCGUCUCUGCGAAGCGCUCGAUAAGCUGAGGCUGGCCUCUGCCGGUGAGAACGCUUCCAUUGCGGUGAGAAAUGGCGCUGUUGAGAAUGCUGUGUUGGCUUGCAAGCUUUUGAUUGAUGAAAACAACGCUUCAUACGUUUCCACAGCGAUGAAGACGCUUCUCUCUCUCUUGAAUGACGAGCAGUCCAAGAAGGAUUUCUUCUCCUCCAGUGGAUGUGAUGUGAUCCUAAAUUUUCUAUCGAGACACGAUGACUCCAGUGAGAUUUCAAUGCUCUCAGCAGCAGUGAUCGCGUCAUCAGCAUCAGGAUCCGAGAUGCUUAAGGAGGAGUUCAUGCAUUUAAAAGCGGAUGAGAAGCUUAUAAAAAUUCUGAGGCGCUACGUAGAGAAUGCUGAAGUACUAAGCAGUGCUUGUGACGCGUUGAAAGCAUUGGUGUCUCCCGACGAUAGUAACGUGUUAGCUUCAAACGCCUUUAAAAACGCCAGAACAAUAUGGAAAGCAGGAGGUGUGAACGCUGUUUUGGAGACGGCUUCAUCCAACCGAAAAGAUCCUACACUGUUGGUGACACUUUGUGCGACAUUGAAAGCUAUGGCAGUGAAUGAAGAGAUCUGUAAAUCAAUCACGGGGGAUAAUGGACUUGAGCUAACUUUGGAGUUCGUGGACGAAUCUGCAAAAAUGCCAAACAAGCUCUUGGCUAAGAAUGCGUGCUCACUGAUAACGCAGCUGGCAUUAAGUGAUGCCAACAAAGAUGCCAUUGUUUUGCAAGGAGGAUGUCAAAAACUCGUUACGCUAGCUUCGUGCUAUUCAGAAGACGUUUCGGUGAUUCAAGAGGUGAUGUCUGCUAUUGCUUCCAUAACGUUGAGAUCCCCUUCAAAUGCUACCAAAGCAGUCGAGGCUGGCGCGAUUGACUUAGCGGUGGAGAUGAUGGACAAGCACCCGCAGGCCCCAGGCAUGCAAAAGCAAACGUGUCACAUGCUGCGAAAUCUAGCGUCACGGAAUCCCGAGAACAGGGCGCUGAUACUGGAAAGGGGCCUUGAGAAGCUGAUAAGAGCAGCCAAAUCCAGGCAUGCCAGCUGCAAAGACGCAUCCUCUGCUGCGUUGCGAGACCUGGGCCUGGACAAUUACAAUUAGAGAAAGAGAUGGGCAAAGUAGACAAACAGAUUCUUAGCGUUCCACAUCAACCGGUCGAGGAGAAGAUGAGAAAAUUCCGCCAGGAAGCAUCUCCGCGGGAGGGGUGCGUCAAACACCAACAACUUGGACGGACGUAUGUCAACUCGACUCCCGUGUCCAACACUUUGGCGGGGAAAAGGCGGGUGGACGGAGCUACUAGACAAAAGCCGCAACACCAAAGCAACACGAAAAGGCUGAGGAGGUAAAUAAGAGAGGGGAAGAGCAAGAAGAUCCCAACCAAGACAAGCUAACCAUGGAUAGAUGGAUGGACCACACAAAAAGUUCGCCGCAGUGACGUGCGAAGGCCCCCCCCUGACCCCAACAGGUAAAUGUGUGGGACUGGGAGAACAACACAGCGACAACGAACUCGCCGCUCGCACGCACGUACACGUACGCAUCGCCUCAACUUGUCCUCCCCGGCCGGAACCACUCAAUCUAGAUGGAUUUGAACCAGCAACCACCGGAUCGAUUGAGUGAUGGAGAUGAACAAUUGCCUCACCGCAGCAGCAAUCCGUGAGUUAACGCUGGUUUAGUUUCAUCUUUCCUGCUUUUAAAUACGUUUUUGCGUUGCAGAGCAUUCAAUGGCGCUUUCUUUUUUCUCGCGGCCCGAUUGCGAUGUCGAGAAAGGAGCUGCCGAGCGAGAAAGCGCUCUCAUCCUCACCCAGCUCGCUCAGCAAAAACGCAAUCCAGGCCAGCGACCAUCAACGAUCGAGACGACAACACUAUCAGCACCUUUACAGCGCUGCCGAGCGACCUUUACGUCUAUCUCGCGCACACACAAACACACCGGCUCAAAUUAUGCGGACAAGAGACCACUUAAACCUCCAUCCCCAACUGUGACUUCUCCGGCACCAAUCUCGCGCGCAGCACGGCUCUCAUCAUCAUAAAUCAGCUCUACUUUCAAUGGUAGUUGGCAGCAGCUGACAGAGAUUCUGUGCGCUAUCUAUGAUCACCAACAUCAACGCCACCCCACGCAAUUAUCGCUGCCAUCCCAAAAGAGCGACUCGCUGCCCUGCCCGGACGACUCUGCUAGAACAGACUGCCAAAAGCAACAAAGACGCAGAGGAAGAGGAGUGAAUCAAACGAAUGCCUCAUUGCUUGCUUGGCAUUGCAGCACUGCUCCAUCCAGGUAUAUUGGCUCUCUAGAAAACCACCUCUCUUUUUUCCCGGCUCC